rnacentral:misc_RNA from 1 species
GUCAACAUAUGCCCAUACUUAGGUAUGGCUAUGUUUCUUUUCUUGUACACAAAGAUUUUCAUUUAAUCUUUAUCCAAAAAUAACAUCAAUUUCCAACGGGUAUGCAGAUUCCAGUUGCAGCACAGCACCAAAACUAUUGUAGCCUCUUUUCUUGUUUCACUAUCAAGGUUAUAGCACACUCUGGUUUCUUUCUCAUUUUCCAUUAGUUUCUUGAGAAAUGGAUGAAUUAAAUAAGGUGGGUGGUAGAUUUAAAAUCUCCUUAAUAGAUUCCACAAUGAUGUGGAUAGUGUAGCAUGUAAUGGAUAAAAAAUAUGAGAGAGCGCAGACCAAGGAAGGUGUUAUUGAGCGACUAAGAUAUCCAAAUUUUAUGAGUUGGUAGUGGUGUAGUUGGAGGGAUGUUUGAUAUUUAUCAGCAGUUUUGAAAGCAGCAACGAAGAUGUUUUAGGGGACUAGACAGAAAUUAGAGAUCAUUGAAGAUGCAGCAGCAGUGACACUAAUGCUGUCACAUUAAAAAUAUUUUGUUUAGAUUUUUGUUGCUAUAAAUCUACUGUACCUUUUGACAGAAAAGUAUGUUCAAAUCUUGAACUAGUGAACCAGCUUGUUUUAGGCAUGGUCUUAAGUAACAUGUUUGCUUAAUUUAAGGGAAGUUGGUGUUGACUGUUUGUAAAAGCAAAUUUUUUGUAUUGUCUAUAUAAAGCAAUGAAAAUAUAGAGACUUUGCUCUCUUCUUCCAAAAAUUUUU